AAAAAUUGGGUGUAGAAUUCUGCUCUUUACUUUCAGACAGAAUUCGGUAACACGCCGUACAAGUUUAAUGAAGUCAUUGUUUCUCCUAUCUUUACGGUGGCAGUCAAAAUGAAAGAACACAUGUUGGCUUGAAAUUGUGACUUGGGCACAUAUUUCUCUCCAAGUUGAACUCUUCUUCCAACUCCCUCCUUCACCACUAAUUUCAGUUUUCAUCUUGGCAGGGAUGGAUCUAAUAUUCAGUCUACCAAAAUCUACAUGAUUAUAGUUAGAUCCUAAAAAGUGAGAAUUGACACCAUUAUAUAGGAAAUGAUAUAUUGGCUCUUUGGUGAAGUGAUCAGAAAAA
rnacentral:lncRNA from 1 species